CCUACGCGAGGCAGCAGUGGGGAAUAUUGCACAAUGGGCGAAAGCCUGAUGCAGCAACGCCGCGUGAGCGAUGAAGGCCUUCGGGUCGUAAAGCUCUGUCCUCAAGGAAGAUAAUGACGGUACUUGAGGAUGAAGCCCCGGCUAACUACGUGCCAGCAGCCGCGGUAAUACGUAGGGGGCUAGCGUUAUCCGGAAUUACUGGGCUUAAAGGGUGCGUAGGUGGUUUCUUAAGUCAGAGGGGAAAGGCUAGGGCUCAACCGUAGUAAGCCGUUGAAACUGGGGAACUUGAGUGCAGGAGAGGAGAGUGGAAUUCCUAGUGUAGCGGUGAAAUGCGUAGAUAUUAGGAGGAACACCAGUUGCGAAGGCGGCUGUCUGGACUGUAACUGACACUGAGGCACGAAAGCGUGGGGAGCAAACAGGAGUAGAUACCCGGGUAGUC
rnacentral:rRNA from 1 species